GUUAAUCCUUCGGUUAUUCUUCUUAAGUGAUUGCUGAAUAAAACAAAAUUUAACUAAUGAUUUUCCUCUUUAGCAAAGAAAACUCAAAAAAAAAAAAAAAAACCAACUCUCAUCCUUCUCUCCUCCUACCUUCUGCCCAAGCAAAAACCAAAGGAAAUCCAACAAUUUCUACCUAUUUUAAAACCAAAUUCAAGGGGAAUUCAAUUUAGAAUCCAAGGAUUUUGAUAGCCAAGCUAAGGACCUUAAAUCGUCAAGCAGUAGUUUCCACUAUGGGUUGUCGGCAUAAUUGCAUUCAGAAUCGAGGUAAGAGCCAAAACUGAACUAGAGUGAGUCUAGAUCUGAAUGAAGAUUGUACAUAUCAAGACGAUUAGACUUGAAGUGUUUGGGUGUUCGGGACAAUUUAAGUCCACUUUUUGUAUAAAACAUAUUUUGAAAAUAGUUAUAAACUUUUGACGGGGUCUCAGAGUUAUGUAG